GUCAGGACGAACGCUGGCGGCGUGCCUAAUACAUGCAAGUCGAGCGAAUCGAUGGGAGCUUGCUCCCUGAGAUUAGCGGCGGACGGGUGAGUAACACGUGGGCAACCUGCCUAUAAGACUGGGAUAACUUCGGGAAACCGGAGCUAAUACCGGAUACGUUCUUUUCUCGCAUGAGAGAAGAUGGAAAGACGGUUUACGCUGUCACUUAUAGAUGGGCCCGCGGCGCAUUAGCUAGUUGGUGAGGUAAUGGCUCACCAAGGCGACGAUGCGUAGCCGACCUGAGAGGGUGAUCGGCCACACUGGGACUGAGACACGGCCCAGACUCCUACGGGAGGCAGCAGUAGGGAAUCUUCCGCAAUGGACGAAAGUCUGACGGAGCAACGCCGCGUGAACGAAGAAGGCCUUCGGGUCGUAAAGUUCUGUUGUUAGGGAAGAACAAGUACCAGAGUAACUGCUGGUACCUUGACGGUCCUAACCAGAAAGCCACGGC
rnacentral:rRNA from 1 species